rnacentral:rRNA from 1 species
UACGAGGGGGGCAAGCGUUGUUCGGAAUUAUUGGGCGUAAAGGGCGUGUAGGCGGUUUGACAAGUCUGAUGUGAAAUCUAUGGGCUCAACCCAUAGCCUGCAUUAGAAACUGUCGGGCUUGAGUAUGGGAGAGGUGAGUGGAAUUUCCGGUGUAGCGGUGAAAUGCGUAGAUAUCGGAAGGAACACCUGUGGCGAAAGCGGCUCACUGGACCAUAACUGACGCUGAGGCGCGAAAGCUAGGGGAGCAAACAGG